rnacentral:rRNA from 1 species
AGCAGCCGCGGUAAUUCCAGCUCCAAUAGCGUAUAUUAAAGUUGUUGCAGUUAAAAAGCUCGUAGUUGAAUUUCGGGACCAAUAUGUCGGUCGUGCUUCGGUGCGUACUUGCAUUAUUGGUUUCUCCCUUCUGAAGAACCAUGACGUCAUUAAUUUGGUGUCUUGGGGAAUCAGGACUGUUACUUUGAAAAAAUUAGAGUGUUUAAAGCAGGCUCACGCUUGAAUACAUUAGCAUGGAAUAAUGAAAUAGGACGUUUGAUUCUAUUUUGUUGGUUUCUAGGAUCGACGUAAUGAUUAAUAGGGAUAGUUGGGGGCAUUAGUAUUCAAUUGUCAGAGGUGAAAUUCUUGGAUUUAUUGAAGACUAACUACUGCGAAAGCAUUUGCCAAGGAUGUUUUCAUUAAUCAAGAACGAAAGUUAGGGGAUCGAAGACGAUCAGAUACCGUCGUAGUCUUAACCAUAAACUAUGCCGACUAGGGAUCGGAUGAUGUUAUUUUGAUGA